rnacentral:misc_RNA from 1 species
GCCUCAGUUGAAAAGAGAUGUCUUGAGCAAUCGAAGAAGCACUUUGAAAAACAGAUUGAAUCUUGACCGACUCAAUUAAGGUAUUAGUGUUUGUUCUAUUAGACAACAAAGAUCGCAUUUUUUUCAUUUCGUUCAAAUAAGAGUUGUAUCCGUACGGAAUUCUUCUGUUUCUCAGUAUGAUCUCUAUCAUCAUCUCUAUUCCCUUUAUCAAUUCUCCUAUCCCACCUAGGUUUAUGAAUUUCUCUAUCAAUUCCAUUACCUUAUCCUUACCCAUGAGGUUCCAACAUUUGAUCCUUAAUU